rnacentral:rRNA from 1 species
CCUACGGGUGGCAGCAGUGGGGAAUAUUGGACAAUGGGCGAAAGCCUGAUCCAGCCAUGCCGCGUGUGUGAAGAAGGCCUUCGGGUUGUAAAGCACUUUCAGUGGGGAAGAAAGCCUUGGGGCUAAUACCCUCGAGGAAGGACAUCACCCACAGAAGAAGCACCGGCUAACUCCGUGCCAGCAGCCGCGGUAAUACGGAGGGUGCUAGCGUUAAUCGGAAUUACUGGGCGUAAAGCGCGCGUAGGCGGUCUGAUAAGCCGGUUGUGAAAGCCCCGGGCUCAACCUGGGAACGGCAUCCGGAACUGUCAGGCUAGAGUGCAGGAGAGGAAGGUAGAAUUCCCGGUGUAGCGGUGAAAUGCGUAGAGAUCGGGAGGAAUACCAGUGGCGAAGGCGGCCUUCUGGACUGACACUGACGCUGAGGUGCGAAAGCGUGGGUAGCAAACAGGAUUAGAUACCCCGGUAGUC